rnacentral:rRNA from 1 species
UCGCGGCGGUGUGCGCAGAAGGGUCUGGGCUCGAGCCUGCCUGAGCCGCCGCCGGUGCAGAUCUUGGUGGUAGUAGCAAAUACUCCAGCGAGGCCCUGGAGGACUGAUGUGGAGAAGGGUUUCGUGUGAACAGCCGUUGCACACGAGUCAGUCGAUCCUAAGCCCUAGGAGAAAUCCGAUGCAAACGGCGAUGGGAAACGCACUGAACUCGAUUUCUUGAGAGACAGAGACCCAUUGAUCGGGCGAAAGGGAAUCCGGUUCCUAUUCCGGAACCCGGCAGCGGAACCGUUGUUUGUCGGGCCCUCACAAGGGGUUCGUCAGGGCAACCUAAAAGGGCCCGGAGACGCCGUCGGGGGCCCCGGAAAGAGUUUUCUUUUCUGCAUGAGCGUUCGAGUUCCCUGGAAUCCUCUCGCAGGGAGAUAGGGUUUGGAACGCGAAGAGCACCGCAGUUGCGGCGGUGCACGGGAAUUCCCGACGGACCUUGAAAAUCCGGGAGAGGGCCACGUGGAGGUGUCGCGCCGGCUCGUACCCAUAUCCGCAGCAGGUCUCCAAGGUGAAGAGCCUCUAGUC